rnacentral:misc_RNA from 1 species
AAAAAUCCAAACGGUCAAUGAGACGACAGACUUUUUGUCUUUGUGUAGACACUGGCAGAGUGCACCGAUCACACGCGCACACACACAACACACAAGCAUUCCUCUCUCCCUCCCUCUGUAACAAUGGCAUCUUCUAAUCCUAAUGGGGUUUCUGCUUUCGAGGACGUUCCUGGAGCUGCCGAAGUUCCGGUUUAUGCGGUGAUGGCUGCUUUUAGCAAAGAUCCUAGUCCAGUAAAGCUCAAUUUGGUGUUUGGUGUUUACCGAGCAGAGGAUGGAAAGCCUCAUGUCUUGAAUGUUGUUAGACGAGCGGAGCGACUACUAAUUGAAAACAUGUCUGCCAAUAAAGAAUAUCUCCCCAUUGCUGGGUUGGCAGAAUUUAAUAAAUUGAGUGCAAAGCUUGUCUUUGGUGCUGAUAGCCCUGCUAUCACAGAGAACAGAGUGACUACCGUCCAGUGUGUGUCUGGUUGUGGCUCACUGAGGAUUGGAGCUGAGUUUUUAGCAAAACAUUACCACCAACAUAUAGUAUACCUUCCCCAGCCAACAUAUGGAAAUCAUCCAAAUUUUUUCUUAGCAGCAGGUCAUACGUUGAAGACUUACCGAUAUUAUGAUCCAACAACACAUGGGCUGGACUUUCAAGGACUGUUGGAGGACCUUAGUUGCGCAUCAUCAGGAGCCAUUGUGCUUCUCCAAGCAUGUGGCCACAACCCUACUGGUGUUGAUCCAACUUUUGAGCAAUGGGAGCAGAUCAGGCAGCUGAUAAGGUUAAAAGGACUGUUACCUUUUUUCGAUUGUGCGUAUCAGGUAGACAACUAUUGGAAUAAAGUUAUAACCUUCAGCAGUUCCCUGAAUGCAUGAUAACCUUCAUCUCCUUUCUAUUUUUUCUGUUUAUUUCAAUGAUGCAUUCUGCGCCAUCCAGGGUUUUGUGAGUGGAAAUUUGGAUAUGGAUGCACAAUCUAUUCGAAUAUUUGUAGCAGAUGGUGGUGAAUGCCUUGUAGCUCAAUCUUAUUCCAAAAUAAUGGGAAUUUAUGCGGAGCGUGUUGGUGCACUUAGCAUUGUGUGCAAGACAGCAGAUGUGGCAAGCCGGGUUAAUAGCCAGCUAAAACUUGUGAUCAGACCCAUGCAUUCAAGCCCACCCAUCCAUGGGGCAGCCAUUGUGGCUACCAUCCUAAAGGAUAGGGAAAUGGUCACUGAAUGGACUGUUGAGUUGAAGGCAAUGGUUGAUCGCAUUAUUAAGCUGCGCCAGCAACUCUAUGAUGCUUUACAUGACAGAGGGACACCUGGGGACUGGAGCCACAUUACUAGGCAGGUUGGAUUGUACACUUUCUCUGGAUUAAAUGAGGAGCAAGUUGCCUUAAUGAUGAAAGAAUACCACAUCUACAUGUCAUCCGAUGGGAGGAUUAACGUGGCAGGCCUGAGUGAAAAAGUAGUCCCUUAUCUUGCAGGUGCAAUACAUGCAGCUGUUACCUGCAUGCGGUAGACCAUUUCCAACUGUGAUUCAUUCAUAUUUGCCAAUUUCGAGUUGUAAUGCUGCUAUGUUAUGCGAUUAUCAAGAAGUAGACAUUUACUUGUGGAUAUUUUUAAUUUUUUAAGUUAUUAAUGGAACAAAUAAUGAGAAUAUACAUUAUAGAUAUUUAUGGAAAAUUUUGUUAAUUAUUU